rnacentral:snRNA from 1 species
GAGUUCUGGUGUCUCCUCAUUUGCGGAUAAAUCUUUCGCCUUUUACUAAAGAUUUCCGUGGGGAGGCACAAUACAAUGAGUCUCAUCUCAUUUUUUUCAUUUUAAACAUGCUGAGUUUAUAU